UACGUAGGGCGCAAGCGUUGUCCGGAAUUAUUGGGCGUAAAGAGCUCGUAGGCGGUUUGUCGCGUCUGCUGUGAAAACCUAAGGCUCAACCUUGGGCUUGCAGUGGGUACGGGCAGACUAGAGUGCGGUAGGGGUGACUGGAAUUCCUGGUGUAGCGGUGGAAUGCGCAGAUAUCAGGAGGAACACCGAUGGCGAAGGCAGGUCACUGGGCCGCAACUGACGCUGGAGGAGCG
rnacentral:rRNA from 1 species